GACCCACUGGCCUACUGGUUAGCAUGUUGGACUCCAGAUCGAGUGGUCCAGGUUCGAGCCCUGGUCAGAGUCA